GACGAACGCUGGCGGCGUGCUUAACACAUGCACGUCGAACGAGUGGCGAACGGGUGAGUAAUACGUGAGUAACCUGCCCUCUUUUUGGGAUAAGCCUUGGACACGGGGUCUAAUACCGGAUAAAGGGGGAUGGGCUCGCGGCCUGUCAGCUUGUUGGUGGGGUGAUGGCCUACCAAGGCGGUGACGGGUCGCCGGCCUGGGCGGGUGGCCGGGAAAAUUGGGACUGGGAUACGGCCCAGACUCGUACGGGGGGGAGCAGUGGGGGAUAUUGGACAAUGGGGGAAGGCCGGAUGAAGCGACGCCGGGUGGGGGAUGAAGGCUUUGGGGUUGUAAACCUCUUUCGGGAGCGAACGGGUAGGUGGAGAAGAAGCGCCGGCGAACGACGUGCCAGCAGCCGCGGUAAUUC
rnacentral:rRNA from 1 species